UUCUAUAGCUGUACCACCUUCAAGGUGCCUGACCGCAUCUGAGCUCAGAAGCUAAGCAGGGUCAGGCCUGCAUCGUGCUUGGAUGGAAGAAAUUCCCUGACACAUCCCUGGGAACAUUCACACCAUAGGCU
rnacentral:rRNA from 1 species